rnacentral:rRNA from 1 species
AUGGGCGAGGAGGGCAUGGAGUUUCUGCUUGAUGCGGUGGACAGGUUUCCCGUGCGGGAGGAGUUUGCUGAUAACAUUGAACAGCCAGAUCUGGUUCCUCUUCUGUAUUUGCUACAGAACGGGGGCGGCGGAGAGCAAGGUCCUAUUGCGGCGAACCGUGGUUCUGGGGUGGCUCAGUUGGCCGGUGGAGAUGUCUCGCCCGACGAGCAGGGCGAUGCCAGGAGACGGCGAGUUGCGUCUCCGACGAGGUCUGCUCAGUCAACCGACCGAGUUAAUCCAGAGGCCCCUAGCUGGACUAAACGGUUGCGUCUUGGGAGUGCGCCACCAGACCGUUUGCCAUGCCCAUCCAGGAUGACUGCUCUGGAGUUAACAAUCCGCAAAUAUGCGGAGCAACCGGACAAGAGCGUGAUGCGGCCUGAACUAGGCCUCAGCUUCGACUCGUUGGGUGAGGCAUACGAAUUCUACAAUCUUUAUUCCUGGGAGAUCGGCUUCGGAAUAAGAUAUGGGAAAAGCAGACUAAAUGCUCAGAGGACAAAGACGAUGCAGGAAAUUGUUUGUGGAUGCUCGGGAAAACCGGAAGCAGAGAACAGCAGAUCAUGCUGA